GCUGUUUUCUCGAUUAGAUGUAUUAUUGAAUAUUACUGGAAGAUACGAGACUUACAGCCACGCAUGAUCGAGCAUGGGAUUAUUUGUUUCAGUUGAAACGAUCGAGGAAAGGAAUAGUGUGUUUGAUAUUUGACGUGUAUAUUCAAAUAGAGUACUUCGUAGCACAAGAAGGGUCGUAAAUUCUCUCGUGUUAUAAGCUGGAUUGUGAAAGAGAGCUCUUUUUUGAAACGCAUAAUGCUUGUUUUUUGAUCGAAAAGACCCUUCUAAGCGUUAUCUUACACUUGAUAAGAUUUUUUUUUGUUGGAAAAAUCGUAAUAAACACCGUUUUCUAAUAUAAUCGAUAACUACGUACUACAUUAAUAUUAAUACUUUAUUGAAUAGGUAAAGUUAUUGUAACUGUGUAUGCGCUUUUACACGACUGCAAAGUUAUUCUCGUAAUGAAUAGUGUUAUUUAGGUUUCAAAACCUAGACUUAAUGAUAUAAGGCACAUACGCAAUUCUCAAAUUAUUUAAAAAACUUAAAAAAAAAAAGAUACAUCAGCAUUCAUAUUUCCGCAAGAAACAUUGAUUUAUACGUGAAACCAGCUCGCAAGAUCGCAGCUGUUUUUCGUGUCUUUGUUUUCGCAUCGAACAAUGUCAGAUUGAUAUUGCUAGAAUGCAAAAAGCGUGAAAUUUUACAAAUCAUUUUUGUUUAACCGCUCGUAAUCAGUGACAGUUAAGGAAAAGGGAACCUGGGAUAUCUACUUAAUACCACAUAUUUACUUGUUUUAAUAAAUUUGGCUGUUGUAGUUAUUUAUCCAUUCAUAGAAAAAGAUAUUGUAUGUCGGAAAUAAGUGCGAUAAUGGCAACAAUCUUAAAGAAUGAUGAUAAUAAUUAUGAAUGUAAUGAAAAUAAUAGGACAGCUUUGUAUGGAGGAAAAUAAGGAAACGAAAUAUGGAACGUACGCGUAUUGUUGUCUAUUAAGUGUUAUGUUAUAUGGCAUAUAAAUAAAACAGUACAGCUAUAUAUAAUCAUAGCGACGCCUAAUAUGCUUAA